rnacentral:lncRNA from 1 species
GGCGGCCUGGAGGACUCAUAGAAGGAGCUCUGCAAAUGUGUUGUGAAGGGGAGCUGUGACACCCUGAGCUUCCUGGGUGAGAGGCUGGCCUCUGGGGGCCUCCACACCUUGGUUUUACUCCUUUAUUCAAUCGCAUGAGACUCCUGAAUCUCAGAGCAGGAAGCAUGUGGAGAUCAUUUCUUCAGCCCUCUGUCUUCAGGCAGGUAGAAGGUAUCUGUCAUUAUCAUUUUGAGGUUUUAUGUAAUGAAAUGCAGAGGUUAUGUGACUUGUUCCAGGUCUCGUGGAGUAAAUAAACUGGAAUCUGCUCCUCGCUGUCCUGCCCUUCACAUGGUGCCAGAGGCAGCUCCUGCGUGCACACCUGUGGCUCACCAGCCUGUCUGCUCCUGGGGAGCUGGGGCCUCCCCUGGUUUACAUCUGCAUCUCUAGGACACCCACGCUGCACUCUGCACACUGAGUUCUCAGGAGAUUCCUGCUGAGCAAAGAAGGAUGAAUUGUAGGCCUGCUUCUUUUUUUUUUUUGAGACGGAGUUUUGCUCUUGUUUCCCAGGCUGGAGUGCAAUGGCGUGAUCUCAGCUCACCACACCCUCCGCCUCCCGGGUUCAAGUGAUUCUCCUGCCUCAGCUUCCUGAGUAGCUGGGACUACAGGCAUGGGCCACCACACCUGGCUCAUUUUAUAUUUUUAGUAGAGACGGGGUUUGUCUAUGUUGGUCAGGCUGGCUGCGAACUCCCAACCUCAGGCGAUCCACCCGUCUCGGUCUCCUAAAGUGCUGGGAUUACAGGAGUGAGCCACCGCGCUUGGCCAGGCCUGCUUUUAAGGAUGCCCCAGGUCCAGAAAAUCAGGGCCAGCCCUGGGAAGUUCGCUCCUUCAGGCAGGUGUGCAUCUUCAUGUGAGACUUGAUCAGACCUGGGUUUUUGUAUCUACCCCACUCCGAAGCUCUCCUGCGUGAACCUGGAAUUCUCACUGCUUUGGGCAGAGGUUCCUCCUUCAGAAAAGGGUCCCAGUGUGCUGUGGGAGGCAGGGUGAGGAGGCUGUCCGGCCUCAGGCGAGGAAGGAGAAGCACAUGGAAGGAAGGGCAGCAGGAAGCCUGAACCUGACUGCCAUGAAUGGCCAGCCCCAAUCUUGGGCCUCAGUUUCCUCAUCUGUCUGGACUAGGCCAGGCCACCACCAAGCCAG